rnacentral:rRNA from 1 species
UACGAGGGGGGCGAGCGUUGUUCGGAAUCACUGGGCGUAAAGCGUGCGUAGGCUGUUCUACCAGUCAGAAGUGAAAGCCCGAGGCUCAACCUCGGAAUUGCUUUUGAAACUGUAGGACUCGAAUUCGGGAGAGGAUAGCGGAAUUGUCAGUGUAGCAGUGAAAUGCGUAGAUAUUGACAGGAACACCAGUGGCGUAAGCGGCUAUCUGGACCGACAUUGACGCUGAGGCACGAAAGCGUGGGGAUCAAACAGG